UACGUAGGGGGCGAGCGUUGUUCGGAAUUACUGGGCGUAAAGGGCGCGUAGGCGGCCGAUCAAGUCAGAUGUGAAAGUCCUGGGCUUAACCUGGGGACUGCAUUUGAUACUGAUUGGCUUGAAUGCAGGAGAGGAUAGCGGAAUUCCCAGUGUAGAGGUGAAAUUCGUAGAUAUUGGGAAGAACACCGGUGGCGAAGGCGGCUAUCUGGACUGUGAUUGACGCUGAGGCGCGAAAGCGUGGGGAGCAAACAGG
rnacentral:rRNA from 1 species